rnacentral:rRNA from 1 species
CAGCCGCCACGGUAAUACGAAGGGGGCUAGCGUUGUUCGGAUUUACUGGGCGUAAAGGGCGCGUAGGCGGACUGAUAAGUCAGGGGUGAAAUCCCAAGGCUCAACCUUGGAACUGCCUUUGAUACUGUUCGUCUUGAGUUCGAGAGAGGUAAGUGGAACUGCGAGUGUAGAGGUGAAAUUCGUAGAUAUUCGCAAGAACACCAGUGGCGAAGGCGGCUUACUGGCUCGAAACUGACGCUGAGGCGCGAAAGCGUGGGGAGCAAACAGGAUUAGAUACCCCUGUAGUCCCUGUCUCUUAUAC